CCUACGGGAGGCAGCAGUGGGGGAUAUUGCACAAUGGGGGAAACCCUGAUGCAGCGACGCCGCGUGGGUGAAGAAGCGCCUCGGCGCGUAAAGCCCUGUCAGCAGGGAAGAAAAUGACGGUACCUGAAGAAGAAGCCACGGCUAACUACGUGCCAGCAGCCGCGGUAAUACGUAGGGGGCAAGCGUUAUCCGGAUUUACUGGGAGUAAAGGGGGGGAGGACGGCGAUGCAAGCGAGGAGUGAAAGCCCGGGGCCCAACCCCGGGACUGCUCUUGGAACUGCGUGGCUAGAGUGCAGGAGGGGCAGGCGGAAUUCCUGGUGUAGCGGUGAAAUGCGUAGAUAUCAGGAGGAACACCGGUGGCGAAGGCGGCCUGCUGGACUGCAACUGACGUUGAGGCCCGAAAGCGUGGGGAGCAAACAGGAUUAGAUACCCGAGUAGUC
rnacentral:rRNA from 1 species